rnacentral:rRNA from 1 species
AGAGUUUGAUCCUGGCUCAGGACGAACGCUGGCGGCGCGCCUAACACAUGCAAGUCGAACGAGCGAGAGAGAGCUUGCUUUCUCGAGCGAGUGGCGAACGGGUGAGUAACGCGUGAGGAACCUGCCUCAAAGAGGGGGACAACAGUUGGAAACGACUGCUAAUACCGCAUAAGCCCACGGGUCGGCAUCGACCAGAGGGAAAAGGAGCAAUCCGCUUUGAGAUGGCCUCGCGUCCGAUUAGCUAGUUGGUGAGGUAACGGCCCACCAAGGCGACGAUCGGUAGCCGGACUGAGAGGUUGAACGGCCACAUUGGGACUGAGACACGGCCCAGACUCCUACGGGAGGCAGCAGUGGGGAAUAUUGCACAAUGGGGGAAACCCUGAUGCAGCGACGCCGCGUGGAGGAAGAAGGUCUUCGGAUUGUAAACUCCUGUUGUUGAGGAAGAUAAUGACGGUACUCAACAAGGAAGUGACGGCUAACUACGUGCCAGCAGCCGCGGUAAAACGUAGGUCACAAGCGUUGUCCGGAAUUACUGGGUGUAAAGGGAGCGCAGGCGGGAAGACAAGUUGGAAGUGAAAUCCAUGGGCUCAACCCAUGAACUGCUUUCAAAACUGUUUUUCUUGAGUAGUGCAGAGGUAGGCGGAAUUCCCGGUGUAGCGGUGGAAUGCGUAGAUAUCGGGAGGAACACCAGUGGCGAAGGCGGCCUACUGGGCACCAACUGACGCUGAGGCUCGAAAGUGUGGGUAGCAAACAGGAUUAGAUACCCUGGUAGUCCACACCGUAAACGAUGAUUACUAGGUGUUGGAGGAUUGACCCCUUCAGUGCCGCAGUUAACACAAUAAGUAAUCCACCUGGGGAGUACGACCGCAAGGUUGAAACUCAA